AUAUUAUUUAUUUAAUAUUUAUUAAGACUUCAUAUAUAUUAUUAUUUAUACUAUAAAUAUUAAAGUAAGUAAAAUAUAUACAUCCAAAUGGAACCAAAAAGUAAGCCUACAGUUCUGCUGUGUUCUUCAAAACAGCUUGUGUUGGGAAGAACCAGAUCUGCAGCGCAAAAAUGGGAGCUGGAUUUACAUCCUGCCUCUCUUGGAGGAUGACAUGCCUUCGUCCUCUACAGGCUGGACAGCACCAACAAUCAGGGCUAUGAGUGGAUCUUCAUAGUAUGGUCCCCGGAUCAUUCUGCUGUGCCGACAGAAAGGGCAGGGCGUAGGUUUCCCCAUGCAAAGAGAUGCCAUUGAGGCCUUGGAGCAAUUCAGAAACAGAACUUGACGUCUCAAGGAACGAAAUUAAGGGAGGAGGCAUACAGAGGAGAUACGUGGACGGGCCACCAUUCGAGGGAUAUCAGAGUAGGACAGUAGGGCACCCCCAGCCAAGACACAGCACUCUGAUGUAUCUUGAUAACCGAGACCAGCAAUGCAGGCCUGCAGGUCGCCCUCUAACCCCAAUGAGGAGGGUCAACCCAUUGCACAAUCUCCUUCAAAAACCUCUCCCAAACCUCGCGGGGGGAGCCAGCCCACCAGCGAGUCAGUGUAGUCAAUGUCCUGCUGUCCGAAUCAAGAGAACUGACCCACCAUUCAGUCCCAUCCAAGACCCCUCUCAAAUGCCGUGGGGGGAGCCAUCCCACAAGGGAGUCAGUGUGGUCACUGUCUCACCGUGUGCAUCAAAGAGUCGGUGUAGUCACUGUCUCACCGUGUGCAUCAAAGAGUCGGUGUAGUCACUGUCUCACCAUGUGCAUCAAAGAGAAGGGAUCUCUGGCUCAGUCUGCCCAAUUAUUAUUCAAUUAUUUAAAUAACAUACUCGGGCA